rnacentral:rRNA from 1 species
UACGUAGGGUGCGAGCGUUAAUCGGAAUUACUGGGCGUAAAGCGUGCGCAGGCGGUUCGUUGUGUCUGUGGUGAAAGCCCCGGGCUUAACCUGGGAAUGGCCAUGGAAACUGGCGAGCUGGAGUGUGGCAGAGGGGGGUGGAAUUCCGCGUGUAGCAGUGAAAUGCGUAGAGAUGCGGAGGAACACCGAUGGCGAAGGCAGCCCCCCUGGGUUGACACUGACGCUCAGGCACGAAAGCGUGGGGAGCAAACAGG